AUGGGCGAGGGAGGUGGCCCUGUUGUGCGCGGCGAGGAGGCAGAUGCCGACCGCGUGUCUCCUCUCCGAAGGGGUGUGCCUGCAUCCGAUGGUUUUCCACCGGGAGAACAAUUUCUAGAUGCUAAAUUGAAAUGUAUUGUCCAGUGUCUUGCGAUGUCAUUCUUUCAUUAUUCAAGGUAUGUGUCUCACAAGGAAAUAGAAAAUCCUGAAUUUUGCAUGUGUGAUUGGUUCAACAACCUCAACCUCUGCACCUCACUGUCAACCACAUGCAAGCUUCCUCCUUACUUUAGGUGA
rnacentral:rRNA from 1 species